rnacentral:lncRNA from 1 species
CCCACCACUAAUAGAUAUACAUACAAAAAGGGACUGGAAUACAAUUACACACCAUAACCAUAAGCAUACACCACAUUCUGAUACACGUUUCAUCAACACACGGACGCCAAAUACAGAGAGAUCUGAAGAAACACAGGAUUCUUUAUUUCCAUUAUUUUUUCUUCCUUUCUUGGCGUACACACGACACACACAAAUCCUUACUCUCUCAACACACAUAUGGACACACACAUGCAUAGAUUGGAGAUGGGGGAGCUGGACGGAGAUAAAACCAGAUAGAGGGAAAGGUUUGAGCGUGAGAGAGGGAAUCAAAAAGAUCGAUAGGUUUGAGAGAGACAGAGAGCUUAGCGAUUGAGAGAGAACGGCGAGAAGAGGUCUGUUCUAGCGACCAGCUCUUAUCAGAGCUCUGAAAAAUAGCCAAAAUCGAUGACUAACACUGUUGAAACAACAAAAAUCGGUGACCGAACCUGAUCUGUUUCUGCCUGAUUUCGACGAGAUCUGCCGAAAAAUGAGAAAAAAGGUAAAGUGAUUCUGUUUCUUUGUAGUAUUCUAUUCUGAUUGGUUAGUUCGCAAUUUUGAUUGAGUUGGAAGGUCCACAUUGAUUUCAUUGAGCCGAGGUCCUAAUUUUGUUGGCUCCAUCGAAUAAUUUGGGUAUUGAAAUAAAAAUUGAAGUCCGAUUCUUCAACUCUAUCUCUUUUAUUUUUACCUCAAUAUGAUAUGUUGAUGUUGUGAUUCGUAUGAUUCGUGUUGGGUUGAUGAUAUGAUCUUGAUUGCGUGGUUGAGUAAUUCUAAUUGUUUUGGUUGAUUCUAUGUUUGGUUAAUUAAUCAGGAAUGAUUUGAACUUAUUUGGAGUAAAUUUUAAUUUGGGGAGGCGUAGAUAUUUAUAUUUGUGGACGUGAAUUUAUUUUGAUUCCUUGUUAGUGGUUUGAUUUGAAAUAAAUAUUGAUAUUGUUGAACAUGAUAGUAUCAUGAUAGGUCGAGUUGGGUAGGAAAAUGAUAGGCUCGGGUAGGCAAUUUCAGGACUCGUGAAAUAUUGAAUGCUUGAAAUAUGUGUUGAAUGGCUUAGUUUCAUUGCUUUUGAAUUCAAUAAAUCAUUUGGCCAGGGAAUGCCCCGAGGUUUCGUGUAUUUAUUCACCGGGGAAUGCCCCGACGUAUUAUGUCUUCGAAGGAGGCUCGUGAUCAAGGCCCAAGGCAUUGGGUAAAGCAUUGGAGUGUAGUUUAGGAUUAUUUUAGAAUAACGUAGGUUUAUAUUUUUUUGUAUUUUCUUUUUGGACUGGACAUUAUAUUUUAGAUUGUUUUGUCAUGUUUGUGUGAUUGAUUAUUUUUAUGCUUUGUGUGGUUUAUACAUUCAUCAUGCCAAAUUAGCCGAUAUUCUCCACCAAGUGACCGCGAUCAAAAUACGGGACCGAGGGAUGCCUAACACCUUCCCCUCGGUCAACAGAAUUCCUUAACUGGAAUCUCGUUCGCAAAUCAGUUUUUAAAGAGCCAAAAACCAUUUCGAAAAGGAUUUUCAAAGGUGACUUGGCACUCCGGAUUAUGUCAAGUGGCGACUCUGAAUAAAAAAUGUAAAUAAUCUUUUUUCGAAAUAAAUUUUUAAUAGUUUGUCACUUUACUAAUAAAAACCCUUUCGAACCUUAAAAUAUAAUCUUUUCGGUUAAAAAAGGAGGUGUGACACUCACUUCUAUUGUGCCCUUUUGGAGCAAAUCCUGGUUUGAGUUUGCCUCAUGAUGGUUGAUUUGGACUACCUUUGGAGCUAUUUAAGGUAGCGUUUGGAUUCUUGCUUCCGGAGUUGACUACUAUCUUUCUUUAUUUAGACUAUGUCUUUAUUCAUAUCCAGAGACAGAGUAUUCCUAAUUUGGAUAUCUUAUCUAUUUGAUCACAAGUUGUACUAGUGAUGUUCUUACAUUGUGACACCAGAUUUUAAGAUUAUGGUAUUGUUAGUUAUGUCUUUCCACUUUACUAUAUUAUGUGGUUCGACUUCAUUCUAGAAGUCCUACUUGAUUUAUUUGAUAUUAUUUUUUAUUUUGUUUCAGUUUGUGUGAUAG